CGAACCUCGAGCGCGCGCACAACCCUCGGUGGUCGAUAAAAUUUCGCGACGUUCCCAGGACUCGUCGCCGACCCUUUCAUUUUUAUUUGCACAUGCGGAAGCAGUUAUAAUUCCCCAGACAAUAAAGCAAUGGGAUAGAAAAGCAGGCCAUAUAUUUUUCAUACUGAAAAUUUACAACCACACCUUUUUACAUGCAUCUCAUAGUAUUCUACAAUACUAUAUAUACGCAACUCUGAUCUAACGUCUAUUCACAUGCAAACAAGGUCUGACAAGACAGGACGGGAUCUCAGUCCUCAUCCGGGUCGUACUCGGGGUCCUCCUCCACGUACUCCUCUUCAAGCUCCUCAACAGGGAUCUCCUCAUCAGAUUCAUGCUCCUUAUGCUCCUCAUCCAGGUCCUGAAAUGGUUAUUCAAUAACCACUGAGACAACGUCUCAGCAAGUUCUACCCCUAAGCCCCGGUUAGUACACCAACUCAACCCAGGGUAUCUAUCCAGAACUACCCCACCACAAGCAACAACCAACAGUCGAUUCGCAUACAACCUUACCUGGUAUGCCAUACCCUGCACGUUAUAAUUCAGCAUAAUACACGCAAUGCACAUGGCCAUUAGAUGAUACAUUUCAUCAAUCACAUAUGAGUCGCAUCACAAGCGAUCUCACCUGGCCAUUGCCACACCCUGCAUGUUAUCGGUUCAUGCACGCGUGCCAUAAACAAUGUGCUUAACUCACGUAUGACCGAAAUCGCAGAUGCCAUGAUUCUCAUGCAUUCUUGCACAUUAUCACAGUUCAACAAUAUCAUGCAUAUAUUCAAUGCAUACAACAAUUGAAACGUCUUAUCCACUCAAUUAAUCACAGGGGUCCGGAUUAUAAGACCGAAUCAUUAUGACACGUCCCAUACCAUGCCACACAAUUCCGUCCCAUAAUCCAGCGCGUCAAUCAACACCCAACAUGCGUUCCAAUUGUUAUUCACUGCCACUCAAGGGCAUAGCCUACUCACAGUUCGGCUAUCUACUGACAUUAAUGCCAGGCAUCGUCUCCCCCCAUGGAGCACGGCUUCGUCACUACGUCGACGGCAUUCCCGAAGGAGCAUCGUCUCCCCCCUUGGAGCACGGCUUCGUCACUACGUCGACGGCAUUCCCGAAGGAGCAUCGGUCCAUUCGGCACAGCCUCUACUGCGACCGGCAUCCAUUGCGCGGGCAUCCCAUAUAGGGGCACGUCCAGCUCAACAGCUCGGGACGGUUUCCUCUUAACCAACACACGAAAAUUCAAUAUCGGCCCAGGACACUUUGCAUUUCACUCAAAUGCCCCGAUUAAAAUAGUAAUCCUGGCCUCUUUCCUUCGUAUUAAAAACAUCUGAGAAAGUAGUCGUGCGUGGGCACACGUUAAUUCGAACCAGAAAACUGAUACUUUCCUUUUUCAAACCCCACUGUUCGAUAUAAUACUUAAAAUCCAUUUUCGGUGUCAAAACCCGACACCCGGGAUUUUCUGAAUAAAUACCAAAUUUCCAAUCACCACACAAUUGCACAAUCAUCACUCAAUUCAUGCAGAUGCCCAUGCAUUUUCACAUCCAUUUACUUCAUAGACUCAACACAUAUGAAUUUUAGACACUUUUUGCAUUCUGGAUGAACAGUGCACGUGAACAGUAACUCGUGAACAGUAAAUCGUGAAUAGUGUCGCAUGAACAGUAAAUUUCCAGAAUUUAAUAAACUAUAAAUUAAAUUCAGAAAUCAUUAAAAGCAUUAAUUAAAGCAACCAUCAAUUAAUUAAAGCCAAUCAUACUUAAUUAACCACAAAAACCACAUUAAGCAAAUAAAGUAAGAUUAGGCUAGACUAAUUUAAUUCAUCCAUCUAACCACCUAUCUUAGGGCUAAUACAACUUAAUUAAAUCACUUAAACUAGAAUUAAAUCUAACUAAACCAACCCUAAGCAAGUUUAGGCACUAAUCGAAGGAUUAGGAGCUAAACUCACCCGUUAAGCGGGCCGGAAACACCGACGCGGCGGCGACGACGGAGGCGACGCUCCGGGACCUCUACCACGACGAUCAAAGGUGGUCCCAAGCUCAACACAGCAACCACAGCUCGGACUCCCACUGAAACUUCUGAAAAACAGCCCUGCCGGAGAAGAAAACAAGUUGAACGGCUUGGCCGGAGCUCCGGCGAGGAGGGUGGCUGGCAACCGGUGACACUUGGGGGUCUUGGGGAUCUUGAUGGAGGUUGGGAUGGGCGGAGGAAGGACCGGAAUGGGAGAAAAAUGGCCGAAAACGCGAAACAGUGCAGGCUGCAGGCGGACCGACGGACCGGCGACUGGUUCCUUCCCGGCGGCGCCCAGGCCGGCCGGCAGCUCCGUUCGGGAUGAAAUCAGGUUCGUUGGAACGGUCUGUCUCUCCCGGUCACAGUGAUAUGUGGAUCGUUGGCUGAUUCAUCUGGGAAGACCACUUUUGACUCGAUUCUUUGACGAAGGGUCAGCUGGAGCAGAAACUGAAGGAGAGGGAAAACGAGGAAGAGAGGAGCUCGUCCGCUUGGAGGCCGAAUGGGGGAGAGAGAGAGUGAUGGGAGGGCUGAGAGCACUCCUCAUUAAGGCCAUUUAAUGGCCACUUCAAGUCCCCAUGCAUG
rnacentral:lncRNA from 1 species